rnacentral:rRNA from 1 species
AUGAACGCUGGCGGCGUGCCUAAUACAUGCAAGUCGAGCGAACGGACGAGAAGCUUGCUUUUCUGAUGUUAGCGGCGGACGGGUGAGUAACACGUGGAUAACCUACCUAUAAGACUGGGAUAACUUCGGGAAACCGGAGCUAAUACCGGAUAAUAUUUUGAACCGCAUGGUUCAAAAGUGAAAGACGGUCCUGCUGUCACUUAUAGAUGGAUCCGCGCUGCAUUAGCUAGUUGGUAAGGUAACGGCUUACCAAGGCAACGAUGCAUAGCCGACCUGAGAGGGUGAUCGGCCACACUGGAACUGAGACACGGUCCAGACUCCUACGGGAGGCAGCAGUAGGGAAUCUUCCGCAAUGGGCGAAAGCCUGACGGAGCAACGCCGCGUGAGUGAUGAAGGUCUUCGGAUCGUAAAACUCUGUUAUUAGGGAAGAACAUAUGUGUAAGUAACUGUGCACAUCUUGACGGUACCUAAUCAGAAAGCCACGGCUAACUACGUG